GGCUUGUUUGCAGUAAUGUUUACAAUUAAUUGAUUACAACCAGUUACAGAUUCCUUUGUUCUUUCUCCACUCCCACUGCUUCACUUGACUAGCCUUAA
ensembl:misc_RNA Y_RNA Y RNA